UGAGUGUUUUGCAUUGGUUGUUGAGUGUC
rnacentral:piRNA from 1 species